CCUACGGGUGGCAGCAGUGAGGAAUAUUGGUCAAUGGGCGUAAGCCUGACCCAGCCACGUCGCGUGAGGGAUGAAGGUUCUCUGGACCGUAAACCUCUUUUAUAAGGGAAUACAGUGUGUGUCGUGUCCUGUUUUGUAUUUACCUUAUGAAUAAGGAUAGGCUAACUCCGUGCCAGCCGCCGCGGUAAUACGGAGGAUACGAGCGUUAUCCGGAUUUAUUGGGUUUAACGGGUGCGUAGGCGGCCUUUUAAGUCAGCGGUGAAAGUCUGUGGCUCAACGAUAGAAUUGCCGUUGAAACUGGGAGGCUUGAGUAUGUUUGAGGCAGGGGGAAUGCGUGGUGUAGCGGUGAAAUGCUUAGAUAUCACGCAGAACAUCGAUGGCGAAGGCGGCCAGCCGGGACAUGACUGACGCUGAGGAACGAAAGCGUGGGUAGCAAACAGGAUUAGAUACCCGAGUAGUC
rnacentral:rRNA from 1 species